rnacentral:lncRNA from 1 species
UGGGCUUGUGUUUUGAUUCUGGAAAGCUUAAUCCCGGUGGUGGUUGAUCCGGUGAUAGGAAAAUCAAGGAUCCUUGUUACGCCUAGUAUGAAAGAGCAGGCCAAAGAAAUCGCGGAGACAUGGAAAAAGAGCCUUGAAGAGAGAGGAGGGAUUGAGAAUGUGAAAACCCCUGAUGUUCAUACUUUUUUGCAGCAUUUGGUUACGUUUGGGAUUGUCAAGAAAGAGGAUCUGGAGCUUUAUAGGAAACUUGUCGUUGCUUCUGCUUGGAGAAAACAAAUGCCCAAACUCGCCGUUUCGCUUGGCCUCGGCGAUCAGAUGCCUGGUAUGAUUUUCUUGUUUUCUUACCUGGGAUUAAAUUACAGUUCUUUAUUUAUGUUUUCAUUAAUUCCUGGUGUUGCUUAUAAGAGGGGCUUGUUGUAUUAAAGGACUUAAAACUUUUUAAAUCUCAAGCACUGAAAUGUUUAAGUUUCACUGUGAUGUUGUGAUGGCGGCGGCAGAACUUUCUGAAUUAACAUGGGUGUUGUGAAUAUAAGAUUUUUAGGACAUUUAGUGAGCUAUGUUGCGUUUAGAGUGAGUUUCAUAUGCCGGUUUUUGUAUCCUUUGGUAGAUAGUUUUUUCUUAUAUUUGUUGGGUUUGAUAUGUAUGAACAUAUGUGAUCCACCUAAAGUGAAGAGUCUUGAGCAAUAGUUGACUAGCAUAGUUAAGUGCGUUAUAAUCUAGGAUGUUAAUAAGCUUUUGCUUGUUCUUUUAACAUGUAGCUGAAGCAUGUCCCUUUUUAUCUGUUAGAUUACAUGCUUUGAAGCUAGUUCGUGCUUGUCUAAUUUGCUCCUUGGUAAUUUGAUUGAUAUGAGAUGAGUGAAGCUAAGCUAAACGGUCAUGGGAUUGGAUAUGUAUAAUUUUUUUCAAGUGAGUGGUUCUGCUAGAUUGUUACAGAGAAAAAAAAUUUGGUCACUGGUGUUGGUUUUAAUCUCUGCAUCAUUAUUUGAUCAACAUGCGUAACGCUCCGUUUAAAAAGACUGUUUUUAGUGCAUUUCUUACCAUACGAAUUUGCAGUGAUUCAUAGGUUGAGUUUAUAAUGUCUUUAAUUAAUGUAUACAGACAUGAUUGAAGAAUUGAUCAGCAAGGGACAGCAGCUUGAUGCAGUUCAUUUUACUUAUGAAGUUGGCCUUGUGGACAAGUUCCCCCCUGUGCCCCUGCUGAAAUCUUUCUUGAGGGAUGCAAAGAAGGCUGCAUCUUCUAUUUUAGAUGAUCCCAAUAAUACUGGCCGGGCUGCGGUAUGCUCAUAUUUACUCAUACUGAUAGUUUGUCGCGUACCGAUGAUUUGUUUUACCCUUUAUUAUUUUUAUGAUUUUUGAUUAUACACUUUUUACUUAAUUGAAUGCUUGAUGCAAGGUUUGCCUCCUGGGGUUUGCUGUAAGCUGAUUGCUGAGUUCUUUUGUUUUCGUUCGCCUGUCUGCUGAAAUAAAUUAAAAUCUGAUGUUUUUAUAUAAUAAAGCAUGCCUAAUAUGGUUAAUGGUAUUGUCAUUUCAUAUUUCUCGUUGUCAGAGGGGAUUAGGGAUGUAAAAUAAUCACUGGAUUAGAUCUAAGGAAAGAGGCAUCUUUAAAUUGUCAGCGAUUCUAUUCAUCUUCUAUUGGUGCUAAAAUCCCAUAUAAAUGACUAUCAAUUAUUGGCAAAUAGGCUGAUGAGAUUGUCGGUCGCCUAUAGCUUUUUCUUAAAUUUUCUUUUUCAUUUGAUUUUCUUGGCCAAUAAUGUUUUCUUCAUUUCUAAUGGUUACAUUUCAAUUAAUUAGGUAAUCUUUCUUCUUAAUUUUUGCAGCAACUUGCUGCACGCAAAGAGCAAUCUGCACUUCGGGCUGUCAUCAAGUGCAUUGAAGAGUACAAACUCGAGGCUGAGUUUCCGCCUGAAAACCUCAAGAAACGCCUUGAGCAGCUAGAGAAGACCAAGACUGAAAAGAGAAAACCAGUUGUAGUCCCUGCUAACAAGCGAACGCGUGUAAAUAAUGGUGGUCCGAUGCCUCCUGCUAAAGCUGGCCGUUUGACGAAUGCAUAUGUCUCAUCUUUCCCGGCACCUCCUCCAUUUGUAAGGUCUCCCUCCCACACCCAGUACCCUGCUCCAGUCCCAGGAUACCCAUCCCCACCUCCCAUGUAUGGAAGCAGGAGCCCACCCACCAACCCCUAUGCUUACUCACCGGAAGCAGUCCCUCCUCCCCUUGCUGGUUCAUACCCUGGAGCUCCCAUGAAUUAUCCCGCAUACGGGGGCUACGGUAAUGGUUUGGCACCAGCAUAUCAGCAGGCUUACUACCGAUAGACAACGAUGAC